rfam:Dehalogenimonas alkenigignens strain IP3-3 genomic scaffold scaffold00001, whole genome shotgun sequence.
GGGGACGCGUGGUUUCGACAGUGGAGGUUAGUUACGGAAUUGCAGGUUGAGCUUGCCGCUAAGCUCACUAAUCCUGGUGGCAAAACACAAUUGGCGAACGUGAACUCGUUCUCGCCGGCUAAAUAAAGCCAGCGCAUCCGCCGCUCCUUACCCCGACGGGAGCGAAUCGGGUGCCGACAGUUGGGGUGCCGCUGACCUGACGCCGACAUGGGAGGCGAAAGACUAAUCGGCUUGCCCGGCGAGAUUCCGCCGGUUGAAGCUCAAAGGGCAAGAACAAAGAUCCGGCUAAACCUGUAGCACAUUCCGGGCAGUCUCCAUUGGACGGGGAGUUCGACUCUCCCCCGUCUCCACCA